rnacentral:lncRNA from 1 species
CGCCCCGAAAAUCCUAAGACCCCUUCCGAGACAAGAAAAAAAAUUACCCCAAAGCUAUGCAUGAUUUCAUAUAGGUACACACUAUUUAACGAAUCGUUUACAAACAUAUAAUUUAACACAAAAUGAAUAAUUCAAUUGAUAAGUGAGCAUAUUCUCCAUGAAAAUCCAAUGCCGAGCUUUUCGAACAAGACGCUCCUUCAUUUGGCAACAUUUAUGGCCUUAUAUAUAUCCUUAAGACGAAAUCAAACGAUGGGGAAAACCUGUCCGUCCCUGUAAACACUCCGACGCUCAACAUUAGAAAAGUGUCCAAUAAGAAAUAAAAUAAAAUAAAAACAAAAGCCUUACCUUCAUAGGCAAAGUUUUACUCGUGAUUAAAGUUUAGCAACUCGACAUUUACGUCUAUCCCAAUAAUAAUAUCUUUGAUACAAUAGCAUACAAAUUGCGAUUAAUCAAACACAACCCGCAUAGACUAUUUGGAUAUAAGUCAAAUCAAAUUAAAUCUUAAUACUAUAUGUCAACAGUUCUGAACUCAAUCAGAUUAUAAUAGAACUUUCAAUCAAUUUGGAAACGAGUUAAAUUGAUAGAUGGUCAUACCUUUUCUUUUUGAACCAAUAUUAAGUUUUAACGAUAAGAGACUUGAAUACCUGGUUUGCUCCAGACUUCUUUCUCCUUCACCGCCAUUAAAGAGAUUCUCAUCGAGACGAAGAACCUAGAAUGAUUUCCCCCUUUUUCUAAAAUCUUCAAUCUUCCUGUCCCCUGUUUAAACCCAUUCCAUCUCUUUUGUAGACACCUCCU